GAAACAUCAGGUUAUGGGUUCAAGCCCCAGUCAGGACACAGGUAAGAAUCAAGCAGUGAGUGCAUAAAUAGAUGGAACAACAAAUCAAUGUUUCUCCUUUCCUCUCU